rnacentral:tRNA from 1 species
GAGGGUGUAGCUCAGCGGUAGAGCGCAUGCCCAGCAUGCAUGAGGUCCUGGGUUCAAUCCCCAGUACCUCUC